CAUGCAGUCGAGCGGUUGAGGGGAGCUUGCUCCCUGAUUCAGCGGCGGACGGGUGAGUAAUGCCUAGGAAUCUGCCUAUUAGUGGGGGACAACGUUUCGAAAGGAACGCUAAUACCGCAUACGUCCUACGGGAGAAAGCAGGGGACCUUCGGGCCUUGCGCUAAUAGAUGAGCCUAGGUCGGAUUAGCUAGUUGGUGGGGUAAAGGCUCACCAAGGCGACGAUCCGUAACUGGUCUGAGAGGAUGAUCAGUCACACUGGAACUGAGACACGGUCCAGACUCCUACGGGAGGCAGCAGUGGGGAAUAUUGGACAAUGGGCGAAAGCCUGAUCCAGCCAUGCCGCGUGUGUGAAGAAGGUCUUCGGAUUGUAAAGCACUUUAAGUUGGGAGGAAGGGUUGUAGAUUAAUACUCUGCAAUUUUGACGUUACCGACAGAAUAAGCACCGGCUAACUCUGUGCCAGCAGCCGCGGUAAUACAGAGGGUGCAAGCGUUAAUCGGAAUUACUGGGCGUAAAGCGCGCGUAGGUGGUUUGUUAAGUUGGAUGUGAAAGCCCCGGGCUCAACCUGGGAACUGCAUCCAAAACUGGCAAGCUAGAGUACGGUAGAGGGUGGUGGAAUUUCCUGUGUAGCGGUGAAAUGCGUAGAUAUAGGAAGGAACACCAGUGGCGAAGGCGACCACCUGGACUGAUACUGACACUGAGGUGCGAAAGCGUGGGGAGCAAACAGGAUUAG
rnacentral:rRNA from 1 species